ensembl:lncRNA
AUCCAAAUGAUCCUGCAGCCUCUCUCCUCUGUAACUGUGCUUGUGUCGCCUGAAAAGAAACAAAGCGUCCAACUGAGAUCAAAACAGCAGCCGCGAACCAACGAGACGAAACGGUGAUGUCAUGCUUCCUGUGCGUCACUGUGCUGGCCGUCUAGCAUUCCGCUGUUUUCAUAUUAGCAGGAACGCCAGCCCCCCUCCAAACAGCAGCAGGAGGAGGAGGACGGGACACAGGACGGCUGCUGUUGGCCCCCUGCCCUCUGUCCUGCAAGGCGCUGUCCGCCAGGAGAAAAACAACCAAACAUCAUCGCACAUGGCCGCCCUAAAAGACGACCCACAAAGGAAUCAACAUGUCUUAUUUCAGUUUGUGUGUCUGUGGACCCUUCAGACCCCCAAAUAACUGCUGACUGAUAAAGUGAGGACUCGUACCCGCGGUGUAGCUGGCGGCGCUGUGGCCCAGCUUGUUGCUGACCACGCAGGUGAAAUGGCCGCAGAAGGGCGUCCGGGUCACAAACAACGUGGUUCCGUCUCCGGAGACCCUCCCCACGGCAUCGGUG